AUCAAAUGUAAAUUUUAGAAUUUUGAGCUUGAGCUUGAGCUUGAUUGACCGCCCGUGGAUGCUACUCCAGUAUCGCCAGACCAGCUACACUCACACAAGGACCAAUGAGAUAACUGCCGGGGACUAGCAGGCAUCUUCAGUGUGUGAGCGUUGGUGAUCUUCUAUUUUUAGGCGACAAUGGCGCCUGCCACGUCAGGUUGCAGGUCAAUGUGGGGAAGAGGUAAGGAAGUGAUGAUUGUAAUCGUUUGUAUCCACAUCUGGCCGAAUAUACCUCUGCGCCAGCACAAAUUCAUGCGGAUGUUGGAGUGUUGGUGGGAAUUGGUUGGCAGAAGGUUCACACAUUGGUGUGUGGAUACCAGGGGAAGGUGAUAGAAUUGUGUGUUUUUAUUAUUUUGAAGAUGUGCGGCACAGUUCGCUUGAUUGCAUAACUUGUAGGCGUUUUAUAAUAGGAUUGUGACACUGUGCUGUGAAAGUUUGGAAGGAAGGGAAACGGCUUUUUCAACCCGUUUCUGUUCUAGCGACGGCUAUGAACAUGUUUAUAUACAUGAGUUGUAUAUGUAGAGAGCAGAGAGAAAGUAUAUAGAAAGAUACAAAGUAGGAGGAAAGGGGCGGGCCAGGGAUUGAAUCCAGGACCUUCUGCAUAUAAAUCAGAAGCGGUAGUCACUAGACCACCAAGCCCGUCACAAAUGGAAAUUUUAGAAUUUUGUCAACAAAUUGGCAUGUAAUUUGUAGAGAAUGACGAGAAUAGCCGUUUCCAUCCAUUUUCAAUUGGAUUCAGAACCUGAACACUCCUCAAUUUCAGGAAAAAGUGAGGUUACGAGUUGAGAUUUUUAGGGCGAGUCUGAUUUUGGGGCAUAUACCCAACGAUUGGCGUCAAAUCCGGGCUGUCUUUAUUCCGAAGGCAGGAAAGAGGGAUAAAACCAACCCCAAAGCAUUCAGGCCGAUAAGUUUAUCCUCUGUAAUGCUCAAAAUUAUGGAAAAGGUACUAUGCGAGUACAUAAAUCACAAAUUUAUGAAAGCAAUGCCUUUGUCAAAAAACCAAUUCGCUUAUCAAAGUGGAAAAUCUACGAUCUCGGCACUACAUACGGUAAUUCAAAAGAUCGAAAAAACACUCAAUGCAAAAGAAAUUGCUCUUGUAGCAUUUCUUGAUAUUGAGGGCGCAUUCGAUAACGCUUCUUAUUCGUCUAUAGGGUCAGCAAUGUUGAGGAGAAAAUUCGACCCAUGCAUUGUUACCUGGGUACAUGCUAUGCUAGCUAAUCGAAAAAUCUCCUCUGAGCUUAGCGGUUCAUACAUUACUGUUAAAGCAACAAGGGGAUGUCCGCAAGGCGGAGUGCUUUCUCCUUUGUUGUGGUCACUGGUGGUGGAUGAGCUUCUAGACAGCUUAGAGAGAAGAGGCUUCGAAGUGGUUGGAUAUGCUGAUGACGUUGUCAUUAUUGUACGAGGCAAAUUCGAAAGUGUUAUCGUGGAAAGAAUGCAAUCUGCCCUAAAUCACACUUUUUCCUGGUGUCAUAAGGAACAACUAGGCAUAAAUCCUACAAAAACUUCCAUUAUCCCUUUCACCAAACGGAGGAAGGUCCAACUGAAACCCCUUUUCUUGAAUCAUACACAACUAGUUUAUUCAAGCGAAGUAAAAUAUCUAGGUGUCAUACUCGACGCAAAACUGAAUUGGAACUCUCAUCUCCAAUCAGUUGUGCAGAAAGGUCUCAAUACACUUUGGGUUUGUUCAAAAACCCUGGGUAAAAGAUGGGGCCUAAAACCAAGUAUGAUCAUGUGGAUAUAUAAAACCAUUGUUCGUCCCAGGACUACUUACGCUUCCCUUGUCUGGUGGCCUAAAACUAAUGAGGCUGCUGCAAGGGCGAAGCUCAACAAAAUCCAACGCACCGCUUGCAUAGCGAUCACUGGUGCAGUUCGUAGUACACCCACUUUGGCCCUAGACGCAAUGCUUCACCUGCCCCGGUUAGAUCAAUUCAUAAAGCUGGAAGCGGAAAAAAGUGCUCUAAGGUUAAAGAGAACAAAAACGCUGCUGUCGGGAGACCUUACGGGUCACCUCAGCAUAUUAAAUGAAUUUGCCAUAAAUCCCGCAAUAGGAAUUUGUAGUGACUGGAUGGAAACGGUAGUCAAUUAUGACUUACCUUACAAUGUGCUCAUUCCUUCCCGCCAGGAGUGGGAAGGAGGUGGACCCAGCGUUCCAACAGGCUCUAUAAAUUUCUUCACAGAUGGUUCGAAAAUGAAUAAUCUGACAGGCUCCGGAAUCUAUGGCCCUAGAACAAAAAUCUCUGUCCACUUAGGACAGUGGCCCAAGUAUUUCAGGCGGAAAUAUAUGCAAUAUUAGAAUGCGUGUUAUUAUGCCUGAGGAGAAAGUAUAGGUUUGCAAAAAUAUGUAUUUUCUCUGACAGCCAAGCGGCACUUAAGUCGCUUAAUAACUACACUUGUAACUCAAAGCUAGUGUGGGAAUGCAUUCUGGCUUUGAAAAACUUAUCCAUACGCAAUCGAGUCUACCUAUAUUGGAUCCCCGGGUCUAGAGGGAAACGAGAUUGCUGAUGAGCUAGCCAGAAAUGGAUCUAAUGAAAGGUUCAUUGGCCCUGAGCCCUUCUGCGGGAUCUCAGACUGCUCUGUAAAAAUGGAACUGAACAAAUAUAUGGUCAGUCAAAUCACAUCAAACUGGAAUGCACUUCCCCAUACGAGCCAAUCUAAAAGGCUCGUAACGAUAAACCCCAAGAAAACCCAACAACUAUUAGGUCUCAACAAAAGGGAUCUCAACAUCUACACCGGUCUAAUAACUGGACACUGCCCCUGCAGAUACCAUCUACAAAAGAUCGGAGCAAUCCAAACCUCAAAUUGCCGCUUCUGUGACGAGGAGAGGGAAACAUCAGAACACAUCCUCUGCUAUUGCAGUGCACUCACUCAACGUAGGUUCAAAGUUCUCAGCAAGCCCUUUUUAGGGCCUGCUGACAUAUGGAUCUUAUCUCCCAAGGACGUGGUUGGCUUCAUAAAGCUAGUCUCGCAAGAAUGGGGGAGUCACAUACUGCAACUCAGGAUCUCUAUUCAUCAAUAAUAGAUGGUCUUGAGUUCAGUCGAUACCAAGGUAUCUCAGUGACAAAUAUGUUACUGAGAUAACUUGCGUACCUCACAGCAAAAGGGUAUAUCACAAUAGUUCUAAAAUCUGGACGCAGUGAUCUUCACCCGACAAACGAGAGAGAGGUUACGAGACGCCACUGACUUUAUGCACAUGCAUCAAGUUUCUGGACUGUCGCCAAGUGCAUUACGCUACAAGCAUAAGCAUUUUACUCACACAUGCUCUCACUUAAAAGUUGUCCUAAUUCUCUCUCUUUAUCUCUCUUUGAGAACCUUUCUACUGAACUCUGAUUGAUUCAGCUCAAUUGAUCGACAACUCAAAGUACCUCCCGUUGGAAUAACAAUAAUGAAAAGAUCAAAAAGAUGGGUAAUGCUAAUAGAGGCUAAUGGCAAACAAAGGACAAAAUAAUAACUGGUUUUGCCAUCAUAUCUCGUUUUGCCAUUCUUCUGUUAUUAUGAAAAACUUAAAAUGGCAAAUCAAUAGCAAAAUAUACAAUCAUAGCAAAUCUUGUCAUUGAUAUGUUAUUCAUGAAUAAUGCUAAAUAACACAUCAAUAACAAAAAUUACUAUCAUGGUAAAACUUGCAAUUUAGCACCUUUUAUAAUGAAUUGUAUAAAAUAUCAAAACAAUAACAUAAUUUACAUUCCUAGCUGAAUUUGCCAUUAUUUUGAUAUUGUGAGAAAUUAUUUAUAAACAUUAGGCACCAUAACAUAUUUUACUCUUAAUAUACCAUUAACUAUGUAUUAUAUUGUAUAUUUCAAGCAUAACUUUUCAAUUCCACGUAUCUCGCAAAAGUAAACAAAUCCGAAUUCUCAGCUGUGUGUUUGAUUCGCAAUGGAUUCUAUUUGAUGCACAUUAAUUUAUGUUAAUUUAGAACUCAAACAAUUAAUUGAAAUAGCUCAAUUUACCUUUUCUCUGCUACUUUGAAAUAAUAACUGAAUCUACCAUUAUUUCAAAAUUUGAAUUUGAACAACUAAACCUACCAUUAUUUUGAUCGCCACAUAAACAGCUAAAUUUGUUCUUAUUCUGUUAUCAAUAACUCAAGAAUGUCAUAAUUUGUUAUUCACCGAUAACAGUUAAUUUGGGUCUUAUUUUGUAAUCAAUAUCUCAAUAAUAACUUAUUUUGUUCUUCAAAUUAAUCCGCAUGCUUUACCAUUACUUUGUUAUUACAAUGGCAAAAUAAGUUAUUUUUAAGUUUUUCUGCUACCAAAAUUUUGUUAUUAUUUUUGUUAUUUUAACUCUUAUUUCAAACAAACAAAUAACACAUUUUGCCAUUCAAACAUUCUGUUUUAAUGGUAAAAUUUGCCAUUCUUUUGCCAUUAAGCUCUACCCGGGUAGACUUAAGUUAAAUAUUUAGCUGUACGUUUGCAAACUUUAAUAAAAGCAGUCUUUUGGCAACCAUCAUCGCGAUAUCUACUUAUCGAACUGAUAUCACAUGGCGACCGUGACAGGACAGAUAUCACAGUAGAUCGGCUAAACAGUCAUCUAUUUCUUUGAGAUUCGACUUUGGAUAUGUAUGAUUGAAGGUUAUGGCUUUCAGUCUUGGGGGAAAUAAUCUUCUUCUUCUUGCCGUGACGUUCUUUCUGGGACAAAACUUACUUCUCAGCAUAGUGCUCUAUGAGCACUUCCACAGUUAUUAACAGCGAGCUUCCUCUGCCAGCUGUAUGUCCAAGAAAGUUAAGCGAAAUUUCUUUACGUCUUAUUGAUAGUGACGUAGUCAGCUAAACACUGAGCUAAACGAAUUCCUUCAUUGAUCAACGAAGCACUCGAAUUGACUGAAUCCGUUGCAAAUCGUACCUCAAAUGCUGAAUUCUGUUCUGUUUGGCAUGGCCACUCCCAGCACAAUUCUGAACAACAACGCACAGUCAGCAGCAGAACACAUGGUAACCCUAUUCAGUAACCCCUUGGAGGAUCCAACGAAGGGGUAGCUCCAGAAAUAGCAACAAACGGCGGCUGUUACGGUUAUACUCGGGAGACACAUUCCACCAACCGCAUCUCACACACGACGACUACCACAAUGAGGUCUCCGCCACCAACCACCAACCAGCAAAGCUUCCACACGAUACAUACACUCAAGUGAAGUGUCAUCGUAGUCGUCGUCAUCCAUCUACUUAGAGUGGUUUCCGAUUGGGUGUUUGCUGAUAGCAAAUUGUUGUUGUCACGAUAACAUCCCCCUCACAGUUUCAGCAGAACAACGCAACGCACCGCAACGGCUGAGAGCUCUGUAGGUGAACUGAUAAGAGCUGCGCGCCGCGAUGAGAUAGCACAACUGACCGACGAAGACGACAAACGGCCGGAUAGAUUCGAGCCGGCAAAUUCUCAUUUGCAAAGUGGUACUCGAUUGAAAAACACACGACACACCGUCGUUGUGGAGACGAAAGUAGUUCAGAUCGUUCCUGACAGAAGGAAAUGCUAGUGUAGUGCAUAGAUUAAGAAAAUUGUAAAAUAAAAAUCUCCGAAGCUACAACAGCAACCCAGUGAGUGUGUCCACGCGUGUGAUCUCAACGGCACCCCCCGUACUCCGAACGAACCCCCGCCAGUGGUCAGUGUAUGUGUCAUGAAUCCAGACGAAUAUGAAUCGCUACCGACGACCAGUGUAGCCACCAACAUGACGGCCGGUGCGAUCGCCGGCGUCAUGGAGCACUGCGUGAUGUACCCG